CGCCCUCAGUGCAGCACAGCAGCAGAGCUAGUGGUAGCAACUAAAGCCAACAAAGGAUUCGACUUCAUGAAUGAAUAGACAAAAAAGAAGACCGAUUAUGCAGUCUUCCGAAUCUUAUCCCCAAAUGGAGAUGUGCUUGUGGAGAAGUCAGCGGAGUUCAAACAUGGGGAAGAGUUUUCUACUGGCUUGGAUGAAGCAAGAGGCCAUGCUGGAGAGGUAAAAAACGGAGUGGUCUCCAUCUAACAGCCAGUGGGGAACUGAGGCCCUCAAUCCAACAAUCUUCAAGGAACUAAAUCCUGCCAGCAACUAUGUUAAUGAGCUUGGAAGCAGAUUCUUGCCUACUCAUCAAGCCAUCAGAUGAGGCUCCAACCCUGGCCAACACUUUGAUUGCAGCCUUGUGAGAAACCCUAAAGCAAAGGACCCAAGCGCUGAGGAGUUACUGUGCCCUAAUUUUCUAUCCUAGAGGGUUUGUUACAUUUCCUGGCCAACCCCACAAAGAUUUUUCAGACAGGAAGCAGGAAGAAGCAGAAAGGAGCAAAGGCA